rnacentral:rRNA from 1 species
GUCCACGCCGUAAACGAUGGAUACUAGCUGUUGGGAUUUAUCUCAGUGGCUAAGCGAAAGUGAUAAGUAUCCCACCUGGGGAGUACGUUCGCAAGAAUGAAACUCAAAGGAAUUGACGGGGGCCCGCACAAGCGGUGGAGCAUGUGGUUUAAUUCGAUGAUACGCGAGGAACCUUACCAAUGCUUAAAUGUAGUUUGACAGGUUUGGAAACAGAUCUUUCUUCGGACAAAUUACAAGGUGCUGCAUGGUUGUCGU